GCGGCUGUGCCUGCUUCUGAGGUCACAGCUUGAAGUCCUUUUAACUUGCUUUCUGCUGCAGGAGAGAGGCAUAUUGUGGUAUAACUGUCGCUGCAUUUAUUCAAACGGACAAUUUGCAAUAAAUAUUAUACCCAGAACAACAGAACACUCCACCAUAUGAGGUCAUACUCUAUAAUAUGUAGUCCUGCUUUUUCACAUGGUAUUAUAUUCUGUUCUGAUUCUGAAUCUGAUUAUGAAGAAUAAUUUAAAGGCUUCCCUAAUAUUUCAUCACAUUGCUCUAUUAUAAGUGCACUGCUGAGGGCAUGUGAUCAUCGACUCACAAAUGACGGGAUAACUGGUGACACCAUAGGACAAAUCACCAGCAGAAAACAAAUGUGUGAGCAAGACAUGAAAGAUGCUUUUAUGCUGGAACAGCAAGAAACCCAUUAAAUGAAAUAAAUUACAUGCUGCCAGGGUGAUGACUCACUGUCCUAUUGAAAAAGGCAAUAUUUUGGGGUGAAGGAAAAGAUAGCGCCGUAUGACACAGAGAGGCUCAAAAUAAUGAAAAACUUUUCUUUCUGACUCGAGUGUGCCUAUUCGGAUCGGAAGACAGAGACUUCCAACAACACUCAGUAAAGUGCAUAUUAAAAAAAUGUGUUAAAAUAUUGCUACUUAGAAUAUCCUCUCUAGAGUGAAUGUCCUCUUCUAGGAUAUAUUACAAGCAGCAAUAAUCUCUAACAAAGACCAAAGCCCCAAUCAGAGACAUUCCUUAUUACCUAUUGUCACCAUCCUAUCCUUAUUUUAAGGAAUUAAAGUUAAAUAUCAGUUUGUUUAUGGCAAAUGCUUUGGAAUACAGUUAUAGAGUGGUCCAUUCAUUCCUUCAUUUAUUAGUUAAAUAUAUAUCGAAUGACUUCCAUGUAUGAGGCAUUAGACACUUAGUGAACAGGAGACAUGUCCCGUGGCCUGAUGGGCUAUGGCCCAGUAGAAUAAUAAGGUAAUAUUUAUUGAAUACUUUUGUAGUGAACAUUUCACAUGCACAAUCUUAUGCAACCCUUCAGUAGCCCUAUGAAUUAGGCAUUCUUUCCAAAUUUUGUACAUGAGGAAAAUUUGAGUCAGAGGUUGAG
rnacentral:lncRNA from 1 species